UGCUACAACACCCAGCUUCUGGGUUGAAAAG
rnacentral:piRNA from 1 species